GACGAACGCUGGCGGCAUGCUUAACACAUGCAAGUCGAACGGUGACGCCCUUCGGGGUGGAUCAGUGGCGCACGGGGGGGUAAAACGUGCGCAACCGGCCCCUGGCUCUGGGCCAAACACUGGCAAAGGUGGGUAAUACCGGAUACACCACGCCUCUACCGCGAGUGGGGGUGGCAAGUUUUUCUGCUGGGGUUGGGCUGGGGGCCGCUCAGCUUGUUGGUGAGGUGAAGGCGCACCAAGGCGACGACGGGUUGCCUGCCUGAUAGGGCGACCGGCCACACUGGGAUGGGGCCACGGCCCAGACUCCUCCGGGACGCAGCAGUGGGGAAUAUUGCACAAUGGGCGAAACCCUGAUGCAGCGACGCCGCGUGGGGGAUGACGGCCUGCGGGUUGUAAACCACUUCCAGCUCCGACGAAGCGAUAGUGACGGUAGCAGCAGAAUAAGCUCCGGCUAACUCCGUG
rnacentral:rRNA from 1 species